ensembl:snoRNA U3 Small nucleolar RNA U3
AAUACCAUACUUUCAGGGAUCAUUUUGAUAGUUCACUGGACACAUGGAACACUGGAAACCACAAGAAGAGGCUGCUUUCUCUCCUGAACAUGAAGCCAGAUUUUGGUGUUGUUUUCCUGCAAGUGCCAUUUGCCAAUGAUAAUUGUUCUUCUCUUCUUUUGGGAGAGUGAGAGAGGAAGGACAUAAUCUGACUGGU